UACCAGCUCUUCAAGUGGUCGGGAUAAUUAUUGGGCUUAAAGUGUCCGUAGCCGGUUUAGUAAGUUCCUGGUAAAAUCGGGUAGCUUAACUAUCUAUAUGCUAGGAAUACUGCUAUACUAGAGGGCGGGAGAGGUCUGAGGUACUACAGGGGUAUGGGUGAAAUCUUAUAAUCCUUGUAGGACCACCAGUGGCGAAGGCGUCAGACUGGAACGCGCCUGACGGUGAGGGACGAAAGCCAGGGGAGCGAACCGGAUUAGAUACCCGGGUAGUCCUGGCUGUAAACGAUGCAUACUAGGUGAUGGCACGGCCAUGAGCCGUGUCAGUGCCGUAGGGAACCGUUAAGUGUGCCGCCUGGGAAGUACGGUCGCAAGGCUAAAACUUAAGGAAUUGGCGGGGGAGCACCACAAGGGGUGAAGCCUGCGGUUC
rnacentral:rRNA from 1 species